ensembl:rRNA 5S_rRNA 5S ribosomal RNA
AUAUAUAGCCAUACCACCCAGAAUAUGCCUAUCUCCUCUGAUUUUGAAAGUUAAGCAAGGUUGGGCCUAGUUAGUAAGGAAGAUGGGAAAGUGGUGUUCUGUUGA